GCGGUUCUAGCUCAACUGGCAGAGCGCCGUCAUUCCAAGUCAGAUGUUGCGGGUUCAAGUCCCGCGAGCCGCUCCA
rnacentral:tRNA from 1 species